rnacentral:rRNA from 1 species
CCUUGACAUCCAGAGAACUUAGCAGAGAUGCUUUGGUGCCUUCGGGAACUCUGAGACAGGUGCUGCAUGGCUGUCGUCAGCUCGUGUUGUGAAAUGUUGGGUUAAGUCCCGCAACGAGCGCAACCCUUAUCCUUUGUUGCCAGCGGUUCGGCCGGGAACUCAAAGGAGACUGCCGGUGAUAAACCGGAGGAAGGUGGGGAUGACGUCAAGUCAUCAUGGCCCUUACGGCCAGGGCUACACACGUGCUACAAUGGCGCAUACAAAGAGAAGCGACCUCGCGAGAGCAAGCGGACCUCAUAAAGUGCGUCGUAGUCCGGAUUGGAGUCUGCAACUCGACUCCAUGAAGUCGGAAUCGCUAGUAAUCGUAGAUCAGAAUGCUACGGUGAAUACGUUCCCGGGCCUUGUACACACCGCCCGUCACACCAUGGGGGUGGGUUGCAAAAGAAGUAGGUAGCUUAACCUUCGGGAGGGCGCUUACCACUUUGUGAUUCAUGACUGGGGUGAAGUCGUAACAAGGUAAGCGUACGUGU